GGGGAAUUUUGGACAAUGGGGGCAACCCUGAUCCAGCCAUGCCGCGUGCGGGAAGAAGGCCUUCGGGUUGUAAACCGCUUUCGGACGGAAAGAAAUCGCAUGGACUAAUACUCUGUGUGGAUGACGGUACCGUAAGAAGAAGCACCGGCUAACUACGUGCCAGCAGCCGCGGUAAUACGUAGGGUGCGAGCGUUAAUCGGAAUUACUGGGCGUAAAGCGUGCGCAGGCGGUUUCUUAAGCCAGACGUGAAAUCCCCGGGCUUAACCUGGGAACUGCGUUUGGAACUGGGAGACUAGAGUGUGUCAGAGGGAGGUGGAAUUCCGCGUGUAGCAGUGAAAUGCGUAGAUAUGCGGAGGAACACCGAUGGCGAAGGCAGCCUCCUGGGAUAACACUGACGCUCAUGCACGAAAGCGUGGGGAGCAAAC
rnacentral:rRNA from 1 species